rnacentral:tRNA from 1 species
AAUGCGAAGCAUUGGGAUGCCGAAGAGAGCAACAGCCUUCUAAGCUGUGGGUCGUGGGUUCGAAUCCCGCUCGGAUCA